GGUCGGAGGGACAGUUAUACCCAUAUCCCAUCAGAGUAAAUCUUGAUAGCAGAAAAAACUCUGGAGUCGGUCACGUUCAGUGCAGAUGUAUCCUUACAUCUCACCUGUAUGCCAUAUCAGUAUCUUCACACUCCUUAAUUAAGAGGACAACCAACCCAUAUGGCACACAAUAACCUAUGCUUGAUAAACAUUGUCGUCCUUGGUAACAAUAUAUCAUUUGGUCGCUAACAGGUUUAAGGACUAAACGACAAA
rnacentral:lncRNA from 1 species